rnacentral:sRNA from 1 species
CCCUAGCCCUGAUUGAAGUGAAAAUCCUUUUUAUCGCCCUUGCGAAUAAAAAGAUUGAAGCGGAAAGCAGGAAGCAGC